GACGAACCGUACGAACGUUAUUCGGAAUUACUGGGCUUAAAGGGUGCGUAGGCUGCGCGGAAAGUUGGGUGUGAAAUCCCUCGGCUCAACCGAGGAACUGCGCUCAAAACUACCGUGCUCGAGGGAGACAGAGGUGAGCGGAACUUAGGGUGGAGCGGUGAAAUGCGUUGAUAUCCUAAGGAACACCCGUGGCGAAAGCGGCUCACUGGGUCUCUUCUGACGCUGAGGCACGAAAGCUAGGGUAGCGAACGGG
rnacentral:rRNA from 1 species